CCACCCUUUAAUGUUUGAUGUUCUAACGUUGACCCGUGAUCCGGGUUGCGGACAGUGUCUGGUGGGUAGUUUGACUGGGGCGGUCUCCUCCUAAAGAGUAACGGAGGAGCACGAAGGUUGGCUAAUCCUGGUCGGACAUCAGGAGGUUAGUGCAAUGGCAUAAGCCAGCUUGACUGCGAGCGUGACGGCGCGAGCAGGUGCGAAAGCAGGUCAUAGUGAUCCGGUGGUUCUGAAUGGAAGGGCCAUCGCUCAACGGAUAAAAGGUACUCCGGGGAUAACAGGCUGAUACCGCCCAAGAGUUCAUAUCGACGGCGGUGUUUGGCACCUCGAUGUCGGCUCAUCACAUCCUGGGGCUGAAGUAGGUCCCAAGGGUAUGGCUGUUCGCCAUUUAAAGUGGUACGCGAGCUGGGUUUAGAACGUCGUGAGACAGUUCGGUCCCUAUCUGCCGUGGGCGCUGGAGAACUGAGGGGGGCUGCUCCUAGUACGAGAGGACCGGAGUGGACGCAUCACUGGUGUUCGGGUUGUCAUGCCAAUGGCACUGCCCGGUAGCUAAAUGCGGAAGAGAUAAGUGCUGAAAGCAUCUAAGCACGAAACUUGCCCCGAGAUGAGUUCUCCCUGACUCCUUGAG
rnacentral:rRNA from 1 species